ACGUUAGCUUAGCCAGUAAAGCGUCCGUUUUGUAAUCGGAGGUCGUCGGUGCGAGUCCGGCACGU
rnacentral:tRNA from 1 species